rnacentral:tRNA from 1 species
GCGCACAUAUUCCAAUCAAAAUGCAGAACUUCCAAUUCAGCGAUGAAAGUUAAAAUCUUUCUUUGCGCA